AAGGAAAAGGAAGCACGUUUAGCUUCUUUAUUUAGUUUUGAGAGGUCUUGAAAUAAGUCAUGGAGAACGUUUAAGAAACCCGUAUGACAAUAGGGAACUGACGCAGAGUCGCUAGGACUCAAGGAAGUGAUUCUUUUUCACUAGGGUUUUAGUUCGAAUACAGUUUGGCUUCAUUACAGACCAUUGAUAAGAGUAUACAUAUACAAGUUACAUUUAUAGUGUACGGGGCCUUAGCUCAGCUGGGAGAGCGCCUGCUUUGCACGCAGGAGGUCAGCGGUUCGAUCCCGCUAGGCUCCAUUAAAACAGGAUACUAACAGACGGUUCGGUUUACCGAAAACUUCUGUAGAAAAAUAGGAAAUCGAUGCUGUGUGUUUAGCACACAAGGAGAUUUAUCUUUUUUCCUAAGAAGUUAGUCUGGUGUUCAACUUUGUAGAUCUUGUUUUAAUUGAUAUUAGCAUACAACUUUAAUAUCAAAACCUUGUCCAUUGAAAAUUGAAUAACUAUAUCACAUUCCGCAAUCAAAAAAGAUUGUAAGAAAGUAACAAGAAAUAAACCGAAACGCUGUGAUAACGAGUUUAAAAAAUAA
rnacentral:tRNA from 1 species